GAAAAGCUCAAAUUUGUAAUCUGGCGUCUACGACGUCCGAGUUGUAAUCUCGAGAAGUGUUUUCCGUGAUAGACCGCAUACAAGUCUCUUGGAACAGAGCGUCAUAGUGGUGAGAACCCAGUACACGAUGCGGAUGCCUAUUACUUUGUGAUACACUUUCGAAGAGUCGAGUUGUUUGGGAAUGCAGCUCAAAUUGGGUGGUAAAUUCCAUCUAAAGCUAAAUAUUGGCGAGAGACCGAUAGCGAACAAGUACCGUGAGGGAAAGAUGAAAAGCACUUUGGAAAGAGAGUUAACAGUACGUGAAAUUGUUGGAAGGGAAACACAUGCAGCCAGACUUGCUAUUCGGGGCAACUCGAUUGGCAGGCCCGCAUCAGUUUUUCGGGGCGGAAAAUCAUAGAGAGAAGGUAGCAAUUUCGGUUGUGUUAUAGCUCUUUAUUGGAUUCGCCCUGGGGGACUGAGGAACGCAGCGUGCUUUUAGCAUAAGCUUCGGCUUAUCCACGCUUAGGAUGCGGGUGUAAUGGCUGUAUAUG
rnacentral:rRNA from 1 species